GCGCCAGUAGCUCAAUUAGGAUAGAGCGUCGGCCUCCGGAGCCGAAGGUUGUGGGUUCGAGUCCCGCCUGGCGCACCC
rnacentral:tRNA from 1 species